UGGGUGAUAUUGCACAAUGGGCGAAAGCCUGAUGCAGCGACGCCGCGUGGGUGAUGAAGUCCUUCGGGUUGUAAACUUCUUUUGCUCUGAACAAGGCGCACCAUGGGGUGUGUUGAGUGUAGGGGUUGAUUAGCGCCGGCUAACUACGUGCCAGCAGCCGCGGUAAUACGUAGGGCGCUAGCGUUGUACGGUAUUAUUGGGCGUAAAGGGCUUGUAGGUGGCUGGUUGCGUCUGUCGUGAAAGCUCAUGGCUUAACUGUGGGUUUGCGGUGGGUACGGGCUGGCUUGAGUGCAGUAGGAGAGGCUGGAAUUCCUGGUGUAGCGGUGGAAUGCGCAGAUAUCAGGAGGAAUACCGGUGGCGAAAGCGGGUCUCUGGGCUGUUACUGACACUGAGGAGCGAAAGCAUGGGGAGCGAACAGG
rnacentral:rRNA from 1 species